AAAAGCAUGUAUGGCAGAAAAGCCUUUCUACAGCUGUAAAUGAGCUGCGGUCUGACGCCCACAGCAAAAGUACUUGUUAGCAGAGCAGCUAAGCCCCAAGUGAUGCCGUUUGGAUCGUUUUCCCUUAUAACACAUCCCUCUCCUAUCUGACGAUAGCCUGAGCAAGCUGCGGAGGGUCUGUAUUCCUGGUAGCACCUCAGAGCAGAGGCACAAGGGAGGCAAAGGCUCUUCCCCAAGGCCGGGCAGAGGGUCUGUGCCCAGCACCAUCUCCUGCUCCCUCUCAUGCUGGAGAGCUGCUGCUCGGGGCCAACGCAGACAUGGAUACCUUCAGCUGCAGCUCUCAGGAUGAGAUGGCUCCAGGAAACAGCAUCACAAAGUUAGCAGCAUGAAGUGGAUGAUGAGAUGGUGUCAUUCCCAGAAAGACUUCUGCUGUUGGUAUCUCGUGAAGCAUCUUGACAGUGUGAUGGCAUCCCACAGCUCCUUGUGCUUCUUCAGGUAAGUGUGCAGUGUACCCACAGGGCAGCCAAAUCAUAGGAUCAGAGGAGUUAAAGACAGGCAAGA
rnacentral:lncRNA from 1 species